AUUGAACGCUGGCGGCAGGCCUAACACAUGCAAGUCGAACGAGUGGCGGAAGGGUGAGUAAUGUCUGGGAAUCUGCGUGAGGGAGGGGGAUAACUACUGGAAGCGGGAGCUAAUACCGUAUACCAUCAGGUGUGCCCAGAUGGGAUGAGCUAGUUGGGGGGGUAACGGCUCACCAAGGAGACGAUCCCUAGUGGGUCUGAGAGGAGUACCAGCCACACUGGAACUGAGACACGGCCCAGACUCCUACGGGAGGCAGCAGUGGGGAAUAUUGCACAAUGGGCGAAAGCCUGAGGCAGCCAUGCCGCGUGUAUGAAGAAGGCCUUCGGAUUGUAAAGUACUUUCAGUUGGGAGGCGUUACCCACAGAAGAAGCACCGGCUAACUCCGUGCCAGCAGCCGCGGUAAUAC
rnacentral:rRNA from 1 species